CAAAUCCGGUCACUUAAUGCUGAGGUGUGAUGACGAACCACUAAGGUGGUGAAGCAAUUGAUGCCCUGCUUCCAGGAAAAGCCUCUAAGCUUCAGGUUACCAACAAUCGUACCCCAAACCGACACAGGUGGUCAGGUAGAGAAUACUCAGGCGCUUGAGAGAACUCGGGUGAAGGAACUAGGCAAAAUGGUGCCGUAACUUCGGGGAGAAGGCACGCUGGCGGUAAGUGAAGUCCCUUGCGGACGGAGCCGAAGCCAGUCGAAGAUACCAGCUGGCUGCAACUGUUUAUUAAAAACACAGCACUGUGCAAACACGAAAGUGGACGUAUACGGUGUGACGCCUGCCCGGUGCUGGAAGGUUAAUUGAUGGGGUUAUCCUUAGGGAGAAGCUCUUGAUCGAAGCCCCAGUAAACGGCGGCCGUAACUAUAACGGUCCUAAGGUAGCGAAAUUCCUUGUCGGGUAAGUUCC
rnacentral:rRNA from 1 species